UGAACUAAAGGAGAAAAGCAAGUUGCUGGUGAAGCCCCAUAGCAUCCUCUAGAGAACAGAGUCCAUGGAUCGUUUCAGCAGCAGCAGCAGAGACACAGAACCGCUGAGGACUGCCCAGUGUUACUAAGCAGGGAGCUUUGUGUCAUCACAGAGGACCAUGUGAGAGCAUCACAGGAAUGCACUGAACUUGGAGACAGCUAGGAUUAUUCUCAAGAAAAAUCUCUAAAAGUCUCACUUUGAUACCACUGGCAAGGUUGAAACUGUGAAACCCAGUGAAAGCUUUUGAGAGGUGAAGACAAAGUGCAGAUAAACAGGUGUGUGUCUACAAGAUGAAUCUAGAAACCCAGAGGAGGAGGAGUGAGCCAUGGUCUGCAGAAUUGAUAAGUGCAGAUGGAGGGAUAGAGCCAGGCUGGCUGGAAGACAGCACAGCUUUAUUCUACCAAGACGGUCUCAGAUUGCCAGGAGCCGCUCCAGAAGCCAAAGCAAGGUUUGUCCCUCAUGCUGAACAACUGUUCUAGAACAUAGGAACUCUGUGGCCGUGAUGAUUCUAGAAGACAUGAUCUUGCUAUAACCACACCAGAGAACAGUUCUGUGGUCCCAGCCACCAGGCAGCCCAGUCAGUUUCUGUUCCAUGUAACUCUGGCGUAAGCACUGUUCGAAUUCUUCUGAUUGUCUAGAUAAUGUUUAUUAAGAUGCCCACCAGAGAAUCACUGACAUUCUGGGAGCCAUCAGUGCAGAAAAGAGUUAGCUUUUUGAACCCUCCACAGAAUUGGCCAACAGAAAGCUCCAAGCUGACAGUAACACGUCCCCAAGUCCUCUUUACUGAGGCACUUCUCAGUCCCCCGUGAUACAGUUUGGUCCUUGUCAAGACACCUCAGUAACCCAAGUCCAUCUGUCUCAACAUGCUCAGACAGCUAUAAAAACACUAACUAGGAAUCCUGUCAGAACCAGAAACUCAUUCCUUACAGCUCUGGAAAUGGUCUGUUCAAAAUGCAGGUUUGGAAUCUGCUGCAGACCUUCCCCUUAGAGGAGGUUGCUUUUGUAGUCUAACUCCAUGUUGGAGACAGGGUGGCGGUCUCUUUGCUGUUCCUUUGUAUAACGGCAAUAAUCCCAUUCACCAGGGCUCUGCCCCUUAUGAACUGUUCUAUCCAAAGCCUAGCUUCUUAAUACCAUCACCCAGGACAUCGGGGUUUCAGCAGAUGAACAUUGGUGGAAACACACUUGAAUCAUCAAAGGAAGUGCUUGUGAGAAUGCUUAGAACAGCGGAAGUCCACUGGAGUGUCUUCUCAUUCCGUUCACUACUCUCAGAGCAAUAAAGAUGCGCAGUACUUGCUAUAGGCGGGCAUUGGUGUGAGUUGGAUCCUUCAAGCUUGGUAUCUUGAAGGUUAACAGACUUGGUUGUGGCCAUGCAACUUGGAAGUAGAAAAGAAGGGACUUGUCCCAGAGUGGUCUGUCUUCACAGGCCACACAUCUGCUCACCGGGGACACUGCUAUUCUAUUUCAUGUUAUCUUUACCUUGCUGAGCGAACAGAAAGUUCAAGGAUGCCAAGGUAACUUCGUGGUGUGGUCAUUACAACUUGCACCUGGGACCAGUGAUGAAAGUCAUUCAUCUUGGCGGCCUUCAGAUGUCCCUUGGCCAACCAGUCAAGGGCAGUGUUUAAUAAAUAACAUGUUGCUGCUGUUUCUGACCGAUGCAGCAUUGUCUGGAUUGUUACUAUGGAGCCAGAGAAGGAACAAGUAACUCACGCUGACUCGAAUCCGGCUGUUCUUAUGAGACAAGGUCCUUCUCACUUUCACCUGUAGCCAGACCUAGAUGGUUAAGAUAGCCUUAGACCCUCAUCCCCCAGAGUAUUAAAAAAUACAGGGGUCGGGGAGGACUUAGUAUAAGUAAAAUGCCUAGUACUGGUUAUUUGUUAGCAGUAGAUCAUAGACAAGCUACUUUAAAUUCCUUUCCUGAUGGUGUAUGUCUCCCUUGAAUGAUGAACUCAAAAGUCCAGAAAGACUGUAGUCACUCUUAGAUAAUCUGGUCUUACAGUAUG
rnacentral:lncRNA from 1 species